GCGCUGCGUCUUUGACGCUGUGUGGACGCUUUUAUUUAUAUAUAUAUUUUUUUUUUGUUAUUGUCGCGCGCGCGCGGAGCGGCCGCACUUUUAAAGAAACUUCAGCAGAAUACUCAGCCUUUUUAUAUUUCUCUUUUAAUCUUAGUCCAUAUAUAUCUGUAUGUAUUUUUAUAGCACGGUCUCAUUUGGUGAUGAUGGAGAUGAACUCUAAAAUAAAACCCAAGGCCCGAGCGCAAAGAUUUGUUUUCCCACCCAAAGGAUUUCCACAAGUCGUCUCCACAUGGUCUCUAAUGUCGCGCUGUGAGGUGAAGGACUUUGAGGGGUUGAGUGGGUGUGUGGGGUGGGGCUGAUGGUGAUGGUGAGGGGGGGAAGCCGCGCCGCUUUUACGCACGACUGAAGUGGAGCUGCUGGUGGCGCGCGCCUCCCACGGUGGGCCCCGGACAGGCAAGACCUCGGUUGAACACAAGUCUGGGUCCAGAGGAACCAGAGGAACCGACAGGGUGAGCCUGCAUCCUGGUCUAUCACUCCAUCUCUCCUCAGCUCCUCAACUGAGAAAGCUGAAUGAGGAACCGAAUGGUUCCUCUGCGGCAAACCAUUUGGUUCACCGCAGAGGAACUCUAACGCCAAGCAGCUCAAGACGCUCCAUGUUAGUGAAAACUCGCCGUUCUGCUUCCAUGUUUCCUUCAAAAGCAGGAUUAAGCAAAAUAAGAGGCCUCGGAUCUCUGACCUCCCCUGUUGUCGUGGCGAAUCCACACAAACUGAACCCGGACUCACUGAGACGGAGCUCCGACCCUUACAGUCGAUGUCUGUCAGGGUUUUCUCUUCACGUUUGUCCCAAAGACCGGCAGAUGGAGGCAUUCAUUUCCUUUUAGUUUGACAAGAAAGACAACCGGACUCAGCAGUCGUCCUCUCCGGGUGCCCAUGACACAGUCAAGAAAUUUGUGGACCUUCUGCUGUGUCUCCAAAGAAAAUAAAACCUACACCGCCUGCUGACGACCGCUGCAACUGAGAACGAGCUAAUCUCUGUGAAGGAGGAAGGAAGCGGAAAGCCGGAGGACGGUCCUGAGGUCGAGUGGAAAAAGCUGCAGGAGGCGGCAGGUCAUCCUGAGAGCAGCAAAUCAACGCUAACACCUCAGCAGGAAGCAGCAGGGUCCCAUAGAGGACGGCGAGGAGAUAUCUAGGACAGGAACUGGACGGGUGUGUAGACUUUCAUCGAUGUGACUGAAAAUUUUAAUUAUUUUGGCUGCUCCGUCUGUAGGCUCCUUUAUGGUGAAGCAGAGAGACAGUGUGUUGGCUUUUGAGUCUAAGGAUCUGUGCGAGCAUUUAUUGUAUCGUUUAUCAUUUAUCGUGAUAGAUUUCUGAAGAGAAUUUCGAUUUAUUGUCAGAAUAAAUUCCAAUGAAUAAUGUUUAAAACCCCCAAAAGACAUUAUCUGCGCUGUUGCUUUUACGAUUAUUUGUAUUAUGAGAGUAGCAAGACAUACCAAUAAAUUUCAACAUGUGAUUAAACAUG